AGGUCAGUCACCGUUUGUCUUUGCAGGGGGAGUAUAAAUGGUGCCUCUGUAUUACAGCUAUUUUCUUUGUUGUUAUUUUUAGGAACUAAAGCCAGAUACUAGCGGUCAAGGCGGUCCGCUUCUGUUACAACGAGACCACAUCCGCAAGUGGCCAAUGGACCCCGGUUUUCACUUCUGUGGGAAUUGAUAUUGUGAAUUAAAUUUUUGUUGGAA